GCCCGGGUGGUGAAAUUGGUAGACGCACCAGACUCAAAAUCUGGCGGGGGCAACCCCGUGCCGGUUCGAUUCCGGCUCCGGGCA
rnacentral:tRNA from 1 species